rnacentral:rRNA from 1 species
UACGUAGGGUGCGAGCGUUGUCCGGAAUUAUUGGGCGUAAAGAGCGUGUAGGCGGCCCGGUAAGUCCGCUGUGAAAGUCGGGGGCUCAACCCUCGAAUGCCGGUGGAUACUGUCGGGCUAGAGUGCGGAAGAGGCGAGUGGAAUUCCUGGUGUAGCGGUGAAAUGCGCAGAUAUCAGGAGGAACACCGAUUGCGAAGGCAGCUCGCUGGGACGUUACUGACGCUGGAGACGCGAAAGCGUGGGGAGCAAACAGG